rnacentral:rRNA from 1 species
ACGGAAGGCAGCAGUGGGGAAUAUUGCACAAUGGAGGAAACUCUGAUGCAGCGACGCCGCGUGAAGGAAGAAGGUCUUCGGAUUGUAAACUUCUGUUGUCAGGGACGAUAAUGACGGUACCUGACGAGAAAGCCACGGCUAACUACGUGCCAGCAGCCGCGGUAAAACGUAGGUGGCAAGCGUUGUCCGGAAUUACUGGGUGUAAAGGGAGCGCAGGCGGAUUGACAAGUUGGAGGUGAAAUUCAUGGGCUCAACCCAUGACCUGCCUUCAAAACUGUCAAUCUUGAGUGGUGUAGAGGUAGGCGGAAUUCCCGGUGUAGCGGUGGAAUGCGUAGAUAUCGGGAGGAACACCAGUGGCGAAGGCGGCCUACUGGGCACUAACUGACGCUGAGGCUCGAAAGCAUGGGUAGCAAACAGGAUUAGAUACCCUGGUA